rnacentral:rRNA from 2 species
AAAUUGAAGAGUUUGAUCAUGGCUCAGAUUGAACGCUGGCGGCAGGCCUAACACAUGCAAGUCGAGCGGUAGCACAGAGAGCUUGCUCUCGGGUGACGAGCGGCGGACGGGUGAGUAAUGUCUGGGAAACUGCCUGAUGGAGGGGGAUAACUACUGGAAACGGUAGCUAAUACCGCAUAACGUCGCAAGACCAAAGUGGGGGACCUUCGGGCCUCAUGCCAUCAGAUGUGCCCAGAUGGGAUUAGCUAGUAGGUGGGGUAACGGCUCACCUAGGCGACGAUCCCUAGCUGGUCUGAGAGGAUGACCAGCCACACUGGAACUGAGACACGGUCCAGACUCCUACGGGAGGCAGCAGUGGGGAAUAUUGCACAAUGGGCGCAAGCCUGAUGCAGCCAUGCCGCGUGUGUGAAGAAGGCCUUCGGGUUGUAAAGCACUUUCAGCGGGGAGGAAGGCGAUAAGGUUAAUAACCUUGUCGAUUGACGUUACCCGCAGAAGAAGCACCGGCUAACUCCGUGCCAGCAGCCGCGGUAAUACGGAGGGUGCAAGCGUUAAUCGGAAUUACUGGGCGUAAAGCGCACGCAGGCGGUCUGUCAAGUCGGAUGUGAAAUCCCCGGGCUCAACCUGGGAACUGCAUUCGAAACUGGCAGGCUAGAGUCUUGUAGAGGGGGGUAGAAUUCCAGGUGUAGCGGUGAAAUGCGUAGAGAUCUGGAGGAAUACCGGUGGCGAAGGCGGCCCCCUGGACAAAGACUGACGCUCAGGUGCGAAAGCGUGGGGAGCAAACAGGAUUAGAUACCCUGGUAGUCCACGCCGUAAACGAUGUCGAUUUGGAGGUUGUGCCCUUGAGGCGUGGCUUCCGGAGCUAACGCGUUAAAUCGACCGCCUGGGGAGUACGGCCGCAAGGUUAAAACUCAAAUGAAUUGACGGGGGCCCGCACAAGCGGUGGAGCAUGUGGUUUAAUUCGAUGCAACGCGAAGAACCUUACCUGGUCUUGACAUCCACAGAACUU